CCUACGGGUGGCAGCAGUCGAGAAUCUUUCUCAAUGGGGGAAACCCUGAUGCUGCGACGCCGCGUGGGGGAAUGAAGGUCUUCGGAUUGUAAAUCCUUGUCAUGUGGGAGCAAAUUAAAAAGUUUGUACCAUAAGCGCAAGCGACGUCUAACCCUGCGCCCGCAGCCGUGGUAAUACGGAGGUCUUAAGCCUGUUUCGGAAGCACUGGGCGUAAAGAGUGCGUAGGCUGGUUAGUAAGUCGUAUGUGAAUGGCUCGGGCUCAACCCGGGGACGGCAUCUGAUAUUGCGAGACUAGAGUAAGGGAGGGGGAGCCGGAAUUCUUGGUGUAGCAGUGAAAUGCGUAGAGAUCGAGAGGAACACUCGUGGCGAAGGCGAGUUGCUGGAAAUUAACUGACGCUGAGGCGCGAAGGCGAGGGGAGCGAAAGGGAUUAGAUACCCGAGUAGUC
rnacentral:rRNA from 1 species